GCGGCGUGGGCGUGGCCGAGGAGGGCUUCAGGUUUCCACCGCUCGCGAGGCAGUGGCGGGUGCCGGCUCCGCGGCAGGGCGGCGGGGUGGGAGACCAUGCGGAAAGCGGUGUUGGUCACCGGGGCGAGCAGCGGCGUUGGCCUCGCCCUCUGCAAGCGGCUGCUGGAGGAGGACCACGAGCUGCACCUGUGUCUGGCCUGCAGGAACAGGAGCAAAGCGGAAGCGGUCCGCGAGGCUCUGCUGGCCUCUCACCCCCUCGCCGAGGUCAGCAUCGUGCAGGUGGAUGUCAGCGACCUGCAGUCGGUGUUCCGGGCUUCCGGGGAGCUCAAGCAAAGGUUUCAGAGAUUAGACUAUGUCUAUCUGAACGCUGGGAUCAUGCCCAACCCACAGCUGAAUAUCAAAGCGCUUUUCUCUGGCCUCUUUUCAAGAAAAGUGAUUCAUAUGUUCUCCACAGCUGAAGGAUUGCUGACCCAGGAAGAUCAAAUCACUGCCGACGGGCUCCAGGAGGUGUUUGAGACCAACGUCUUUGGCCACUUCAUCCUGAUUCAGGAACUGGCACCUCUCCUCUGUCACAGUGACAGUCCUUCCCAGCUCAUCUGGACAUCGUCUCGCAAUGCGAGGAAAUCGAAUUUCUGCCUCGAGGACAUCCAGCACAGCAGAGGCCAGGAGCCCUACAGCUCCUCCAAGUACGCGGUUGACCUGCUCAGCGUGGCUGUGAACAAGAACUUCAACUCGCGGGGUCUGUAUUCCAGCGUGGUGUGCCCGGGUACCAUGGUGACCAAUAUGACGUGUGGAAUUCUCCCUCCCUUUGUGUGGACACUGCUGAUGCCAAUCAUAUGGCUGCUUCGCUUUUUUGCAAAUGCUUUCACUCUGACACCGUACAAUGGAACAGAAGCCCUGGUAUGGCUUUUCCACCAAAAGCCCGAGUCUCUCAAUCCCCUGACCAAAUACCUGAGCGCCACCACUGGCUUUGGAAGCAAUUACGUAAUGACCCAGAAGUAUCCUGAAGAAGAAAUCCUUGGGAAUUCUAUUUCGGUUGAUGUCUUCUGUUACUGGAUGCACAGGGGUUAGUGGGGAGAGAAAAACCAGACCUUUCAGUCUUGCUGGGCAAGGGCAGCGUCGGUAGGUUUGAUGGACCUAGAUGAAGACACCGCUGAAAAAUUUUACCAAAACUUACUGGAACUGGAAAAGCACGUUAGGGCCACCAUUCAAAAAAGAAAUCAUCAGAGCUGACCGU